rnacentral:piRNA from 1 species
CGAAUACUGUUUGAAUUAGUU